AUCCUACUUGAGUGGAUAUCGGUAGAGGCCAGACGACUGUGUGGCUAAUUUUGAACCUCGGGCAUUGCUGCGAUCAUCUACAGGGUAAUCUAGUUACCCUAGAGGUAUUUCUCUAAUCCUCAAGUUUUAGAUUUAAUUUUAGAUUAAAUAUCAGAUAAUAAGAAUCAAAUCUAAUAGAUCUUAAAGCUGAAAUAUUGUAGGAUAACUUUUUUUUUAAAUAUUCCACCCCAGAUCUCAUUAGAUCUGGAAGAUCCUACAGGGAAAAAGCCGAUUUUUCCCUUCAUCUUGUUCACAUGACCAAGCCUACAAUGUCAAAGGUAGGAUUCGCUGAUAUUAUCUAUUUUGAGAUAUUUACUAGGUGUGUAUAUUACACUAACAGGCCGUG
rnacentral:lncRNA from 1 species